GAUGAACGCUGGCGGCGUGCCUAAUACAUGCCAGUCGAGCGAACGGACGAGAAGCGUGCUUCUCUGAUGUUAGCGGCGGACGGGUGAGUAAGACGUGGAUAACCUACCUAUAAGACUGGGAGAACUUCGGGAAACCGGAGCUAAUACCGGAUAAUAUUUUGAACGGCAGGGUUCAAAAGUGAAAGACGGUCUGGCUGUCACUUAUAGAUGGAGCCGCGGUGCAUUAGCUAGUUGGUAAGGUAACGGCUUACCAAGGCAACGAUGCGUAGCCGACCUGAGAGGGUGAUCGGCCACACUGGAACUGAGACACGGUCCAGACUCCUACGGGAGGCAGCAGUAGGGAAUCUUGCGCAAUGGGCGAAAGCCUGACGGAGCAACGCCGCGUGAGUGAUGAAGGUCUUCGGAUCGUAAAACUCUGUUAUUAGGGAAGAACAUAUGUGUAAGUAACUGUCCACAUCUUGACGGUACCUAAUCAGAAAGCCCCGGCUAACUACGUG
rnacentral:rRNA from 1 species